rnacentral:lncRNA from 1 species
CACAGCAUAGGGAAAGUCCCAGGCUAGGGGUUGAAUCAGAGAUGCAGCUGCCAGCCUUCACCACAGCCACAGAAACUAGGGAUCUGAGCCGCAUCUGUGACCUACACCACAGUUCACGGCAACACCAGAUCCUUAACCCACGGAGCAAGGCCAGGGAUCGAACUCGCAUCCUCGUGGAUACUAGUCAGGUUCGUUACCGCUCAGCCAUGACAGGAAGUCCUACAUUCCAAAUCUUGGGAUGAAAACAUCUGUUGUGGCUCACCUGGACUAGAAAUAGUCAGGGGAGGGAAUUCCAAGAAACAAUUCACCCUGGAUGGGUUGACACAUUAUGAGACCACACCAGUCCCCAGCUUGUCAACUUGUCACUCAUACACAGGUCUUUAAGGCAGGCUUAAUUUCCAAAUAGAAAUGUUAGCAAAGUCACAUUUCUAUCAAACAUGAGGCAUACAACAAAAACAGCAUAACCAUUUGCCUCAAAAUGAAUGCAAAAACCUUGCUUUUUAUUGAUGUUUAUUGUUUUUCCAGAUGAUUUACACUCUUCAUUUAUAAUCUUGUAACUUAAAUAUCUUUUUUCUUUGUUUGUUCUUUUUAGGGCCAUACCUAUGGCAUAUGGCUUCUGCUCCCAGGCUAGGGGUUGAAUCAGAGCUGUAUCUGCUAUCUACACCACAGGUCAAGGCAACACCAGAUCCUUAACCCACUGAGCAAGGCCAGGGAUCGAACCUGCAUCCUCAUGGAUACUAGUCAGGUUCUUAACCUGCUGAGCCACAAUGGGAACUUCAUAAAUUAAAUUCUUAAACACUGAGCUAUAAAUAAAUACUAUCAACAUAUCUUGUGUUAGGAGAUUGGAGAAGGAGUAGAAAAAAAUAUUAACACAAACAUUUGUAUCAACGUGAGGAAGAAAGCUCAGCUAUUAAAAGACUCAGUUCUCUAAAUGGUACAUGGUCGUAACUGGUAAUUAUGACCAAAUUAUUCUACAUUCAUGCAAAAUUCCCUUUCCUUCAGGACAUGCCUCACCGAUGGUGGCUGGGCUCUGCUGGGUGAGCUGAACCUUCGUUCCUGAAUGUCCAAGUUUGCAGUUCUGCCUGACUUGGGUUUUUGGAGUUUCCAUUGACUUUUACCCUCAGGACAGAAAUGUACUAAGAAGUCCCCAGAGGCAUCGUCUGCAUUCCAGGCAUACUGUUCCUUUUACCCCCAGGGGGAGGAGCAACCCCAUUGUUCCUUAUUGUCCUGGUCCUGAUCAGUCACCCCAGCAGAAAUGUAACUGCCCCCGUUGCCUGUUGGUUCACUGGCUAGAGCAUCCUAAAGUGGCCAGGUGACAGUUUCAACUUCCAGUUGAGUAGGGUGACUGCUGUUUCCCCUGAUGGAAGCAUUCCUCCCUUAGGAAUUAAAUCUCCAGAUAAAAACAGAGUCGAAAUUCGAAGACACAGGAAGCAUGUAUUUUUCUCAUGGAUCACCAAGAGUCAGACGUUUCCAAUCCCUGAUUCCUGGAGGCUCAAAUCCUGGAUAUGGGAGAAACAAUUGAUUAGGCGUUUAUGCUGCAUCUUAAAGGAAAUUUCCCCACAUCUCCAAAGUGCUGCUACAUAACAGGUGCUAAAAACGAGUCUUAGAAAGGCCCGUUUACCCGUUGCUUCUGGUGGUGGAGAAGUUGGUAAAACAAGUGAAUUCCAUGAGCCUGGGCCAGAGGUGGACUGCAUUUGCCAGGAAGUGGAUUUCUUCUGAGAAGCAAUGAUGUAUGAAAUGCCAUGAUGAUGGAAAAGGCAUUCUGGCAUUGCAGGUAGGGAAGGCAAAUCCACAUCCAGAGUAAUUACCUAGUGAAGUGAGUACAAAGCAGUGCCGCUUCCAUGAUGGCAGUGGUCCAGGUAACCAAUCCACCACCAAGUAGGUGACUGUUCUGGGGACUGUGUCACAGCUGGUACUCAGGGUUAGUCUCUGCUGCAGGUUGACUCUCACAGUGGUUGUAGUCACACCAGGCUUAGUGAGUUGAGGUCCACUUGCUGAGCCCACAGUCAUUUUGUUCAUGGGCCCACUGGGUGAUGACAGGAGGAGCUGGGCAGUGACUCGGACCAGCAUCUGCAGACUGGUAUCGUCUCCACUUGAUUAUUAUAACUCCUCCUCUGCUGGGCUCACCCUUUCGGAAGCAUUCACCAGGAGCACAAAUCAACUCACAUUUUUGCAGGUUUUCAGGCUGACCCACCCCACCCCCCUUCCCCUGACGGCCAGCGUGGGCACGAUCCUGAGAGCGAGAACCUCCUUUGGUCUCAUGUGCCAGGCACCACACUUGUCCCACCCUCAUUCCGACCCAAGCUCCUAUCUCUAAAUCCAAGUUACUGAAAGACCAAGCAAAUUCUCUUUUAGAACUUCUCGCUUCUGAUAUUUUAGAAAUUGAGGGAAAAGGGAAGGAUGCUGGAAGACUAAAGAGGAAUGACUAUUGACUGGUCCUGCCCAGCAGUUCCAGAAGAUACUGGCUCAUGUGUAUCUUUACAAAAACCUCUGUAGCAUGCCAGGCUGGGCAGACUGGACUUUAGGCUGAACACAAUAGGGAGUCACUGAGGAGCUUUAAGCUUAUCGAAAAAGACUGAUGUUGUUGGAGGCAGUGUAUUGGCGGGAGUCUCUGUGUUUGCAGUGUGGACCACGGAACAAAGGGGAAGGGAUUGGAAACUUGAAGGACACCUGUUUUUCUUGAAUAAGCCUAAAAGAAGUGGUGGUCCUUAUAUCUCAAUAAAAGUUAUAUGAAAGAAGUAGUAGUCAAUUCUCACACUAGCCUAGACCAGGGGUAGGCCGCAAGGCACCGUGGAGUAGCAGAGACAGAGAAGCUGUAAAGAUGAGAUCCUACUUACAGAGUCUUCGAAAACUAUGUAGAUAAGAGACGAAAAAAGGGGGGAAGGCAAAUUCUAGGUAAAAAGUGAGCUGAUGGUCUAGUUUAUGAAUUAUCAGACUAUGUACAGAGUUGUUAACGUGGCCCAGUUGAUAACCUCAGGGAAACUCAGCCUCUAGAAAGAUGCGAUUUUCUUGUUUUUUUUUUUUUUUAAUCAAUUCCUGGGAUUUUCUAGUGCGUGCAAUGGCACUCCCAUAUCUCUCUGAGCACUAACUGUUCUUUUUCCUGUUGUAGUCCUCAGGCAAUGAAUUCAUUUAACCUCUUUCAGGUCCAGGUUCCUCUUCUGUGCAGCACUUGGAAAAUUGUUUAGAGCACUGGGUAAGAUGCAACCCCAUGCCCUGGUGUAUUAAUGGGUCACACAUGGUAGUUAUUAUUAUCGUACUUAUUAAUAAUAGCAACUUGAAGAAAUGUAUAGCUAUGUAAAUAUCUGAAUCCCUUCCUGAAACUGAUAAUUAACGGAUGUUAUCCUGAAAUAGGAUUUUGAAUUGAUUCUCUCUUUGCGUUAAUCUUGAUUUGGUCUUAUUCAAAAUGUUAACCAUAGCGUCAGUGAAAAUUUGUUUUAAAGUUUAUUAAAUUUACAAGUGACAUCAAGUGGAAGAAAAAAUAGGUUUGAUAACAAGUUAGAAAUCAAAAAGGAAGCAAAAAUGGUGGCAUAAUAAGACCAUUAGACACAAUUAGCAGAGGGUUCCCCCCACCUUUUUUAUUUUUUUUGUCUUUUGUCUUUUCUGGGGUCGCACCCGAGGCAUAUGGAGGUUCCCAACCUAAGGGUUGAAUCGGAGCCGUAGCUGCCGGCCUACACCACAGCCACAGCAACGAGAGACCCAAGCCUCGUCUGUGACCUACACCACAGCUCACGGCAACGCCGGAUCCGUAACCCACUGAGCGAAGCUAGGGAUCAAACCUGCAACCUCAUGGUUACUGGUAGGAUUCGUUAACCACUGAGCCACCACGGGAACUCCGUUUUUGUUUUUCUUUUAAGAAUAAAUCUACAUCAACUUUCUUUUUGUCUUCAAACAUGCAAACAUGCUGAGUUAAUUCUUGCAUUAUGGCCUUGGCAUUAGUUUUUUCCUUGUCAGAAAUGUUUCAUUCACAUAGCAAGCUCCACGGUGUCUUCCGGAUCUGAGCUCACAGAUCAUCUAUUUGGAGUGCUUCCUAGGCCAUCCCGAGUUAGACAGCACCAUCCUCUUCCUAGGGGCCAGCUGUCAUUCUGUAUCAUUGCCUUCCCUGCAUGGAUCCAGGCUGAACGGUUUUUCAUUUCAUGAAGCUCAGUUGGCAGGCAGCAGGUGCUUCCUCUAGCCUCAUGCUUAUUUCUCUGACAAGAUCCUUCUUGGAGGCAUUCACAGACCCAAGGGCAACACGUUUUGGGCCCUUCACUUCUAGGCUCUCCCCAGACUCAGAGUGAGCUCUGCUGGCCCCAUGUCAACUUCCUUCCAUCUUCUCUUCAGGGAGUUGCAGCCUCCAAGCUAGAAAAAAAAUGCUGGUGGAGGCUGUGGUCUGCUCCCCAAAUGGGGCCAACUCCUGCUUUCUGUCUUGGCUGGCAGGCAGCGAGGGAGGAAUUGCUAGAUUCCAACCUUUACUCUGGCUAGUAGCUCUGCUCUGUUUUAGCUGACCACAUAGCUUUGGGCGAGCAAUUAUCUGAUUUUCGCAGUAGGUUGACUGACAUUUUGGUCUUUUCAUUCUUUUUUUUUUUAAUUUAUUAAUUUUUUUAGCUGAGCCUGAGGCAUGUAGAAGUUUCCAGGCCAGGGAUCGAACCCAUGCCACAGUAGCAACCCUGAGCCACAGCAGUGACAACACCAGGUAGUUGAACCCUCUGAGCCACCAGGGAACUCCAGAUCACCAUUUUUCACUAGGAAAAUGAUUUGCAGAUAGUGAAGUUUUUGCAUCUCUCUGUGAUAAAACUCUCUCUCCCUCUAUUCUUUUCAUGUUUACUAGAUUAAAAUCCUUGCUGACCCUGAAAUGGAAUCCACAGUAUUUCUGUAAUACUUUGGCCUGUACUCAAUAGUAUCAGGCAACUGAGAGAGUUUUAAUUCACCCAGUAGACAUAUAGCAUUAGAGAAUCAUAUGUUCCUCAGCUUUUAAUAGGUUGUCUUAAUUACCCUGAACUAAUUGUUUUCUAACUUUGUCUCCUAGGGAUACAAGACUCAAAUAAAUUUUGAAGUAUUUUGCUUCUUAAAUCUACAAAGUACUUCCUGAUCACAAAAUUGAAUAUUUUCCAUUUCUAAUUGAUGUCACUUUUUCAUACUUAGUCCUUUAUAGAAAUAUAGAAUUAUCAAUCUGCUCUCCACACCACUACUCAAACUUUCAUAAAUUUUAAGGAUUGUCUUUCUCCUCAGUCUCCACAUGACCCAUUUCAAAUUCCCUUAAAAAUUAUCUUGCUCUCUUUAAGAUGUGGUGAUAAAACAUAUAGACAAAACAGAAGAUAAAGGAAAGGUUAUUUCUCAGACUUUGAAAUUAAUAUUCUCUCCAAAUAUAUCCUCCUGGAAUCAUAUUGACUUUUGUAAAGUCAUCAUUUCUGCUGAACAACAAAGUGAUUCAGUUAUACAUGUACACACAUUCAUUCAUUUUCAGAUUCUUUUCUCAUAGAGAUUAUCACAGAACAUUGGGUAGAGUUCCCUGUGCUAGACAGCAAGUCUCUGUUGGCCAGUCAUUCCAUAUUCCACA